UGGAUCCAGACUUUGAUUCUGGCUCAGGACGAACGCUGGCGGCGUGCCUAACACAUGCAAGUCGAACGAAGCUUGAAGAUUGAUUCUUCGGAUGAAAUCUGAUAUGACUGAGUGGCGGACGGGUGAGUAACGCGUGAGCAACCUGCCCUUCGGAGGGGGAUAGUGUCUGGAAACGGACAGUAAUACCGCAUAACGUAUUUUUACCGCAUGAUAGAAAUACCAAAACUGAGGUGCCGAAGGAUGGGCUCGCGUUGGAUUAGAUAGUUGGUGGGGUAACGGCCUACCAAGUCGACGAUCCAUAGCCGGACUGAGAGGUUGAACGGCCACAUUGGGACUGAGACACGGCCCAGACUCCUACGGGAGGCAGCAGUGGGGAAUAUUGCACAAUGGGGGAAACCCUGAUGCAGCAACGCCGCGUGAAGGAAGACGGUUUUCGGAUUGUAAACUUCUGUUCUUAGUGAAGAAGAAUGACGGUAGCUAAGGAGCAAGCCACGGCUAACUACGUGCCAGCAGCCGCGGUAAUAAGUAGGAUGCAAGCGUUAUCCGGAUUUACUGGGUGUAAAGGGAGCGCAGGCGGGACUGCAAGUUGGAUGUGAAAUACCGUGGCUUAACCACGGAACUGCAUCCAAAACUGUAGUUCUUGAGUGAAGUAGAGGCAAGCGGAACUCCGAGUGUAGCGGUGAAA
rnacentral:rRNA from 1 species